AUUGAACGCUGGCGGCAGGCUUAACACAUGCAAGUCGAGCGGAGAUGAGGUGCUUGCACCUUAUCUUAGCGGCGGACGGGUGAGUAAUGCUUAGGAAUCUGCCUAUUAGUGGGGGACAACAUUCCGAAAGGAAUGCUAAUACCGCAUACGUCCUACGGGAGAAAGCAGGGGAUCUUCGGACCUUGCGCUAAUAGGUGAGCCUAAGUCGGAUUAGCUAGUUGGUGGGGUAAAGGCCUACCAAGGCGACGAUCUGUAGCGGGUCUGAGAGGAUGAUCAGCCAAACUGGGACUGAGACACGGCCCAGACUCCUACGGGAGGCAGCAGUGGGGAAUAUUGGACAAUGGGGGGAACCCUGAUCCAGCCAUGCCGCGUGUGUGAAGAAGGCCUUAUGGUUGUAAAGCACUUUAAGCGAGGAGGAGGCUACUGAGACUAAUACUCUUGGAUAGUGGACGUUACUCGCAGAAUAAGCACCGGCUAACUCUGUGCCAGCCGCCGCAGUAA
rnacentral:rRNA from 1 species